GAUGAACGCUAGCGGCAGGCUUAAUACAUGCAAGUCGAACGGUGUCUUCGGACAUAGUGGCGCACGGGUGCGUAACACGUAUGCAACCUACCUUACAUUGGGGGAUAGCCUUUCGAAAGGGAGAUUAAUACCGCAUAAGACAGUAGCUGGGCAUCCAGCAGCUGUUAAAGAUUUAUCGAUGUAAGCUGGGCAUGCGUCCAAUUAGCUAGUUGGUGAGGUAACGGCUCACCAAGGCAAUGAUUGGUAGGGGAACUGAAAGGUCAAUCCCCCACACUGGCACUGAGAUACGGGCCAGACUCCUACGGGAGGCAGCAGUAGGGAAUAUUGGGCAAUGGACGCAAGUCUGACCCAGCCAUGCCGCGUGCAGGAUGAAGGCGUUAUGCGUUGUAAACUGCUUUUAUACAGGAAGAAACGACUCUUGCGAGAGGCAUUGACGGUACUGUAUGAAUAAGCACCGGCUAACUCCGUGCCAGCAGCCGCCGUAACAC
rnacentral:rRNA from 1 species